rnacentral:misc_RNA from 1 species
GAAAUGCGAUAAGUAAUGUGAAUUGCAGAAUUCAGUGAAUCAUCGAAUCUUUGAACGCUCCUUGCGCUCCUUGGUAUUCCUUGGAGCAUGCCUGUUUGAGUAUCAUGAAAUCUUCAAAGUAAAUCUUUUGUUAACUCAAUUGGUUUCUACUUUGGUAUUGGAGGUCUUUGCAGCUUCACACCUGCUCCUCUUUGUUCAUUAGCUGGAUCUCAGUGUUAUGCUUGGUUCCACUCGGCGUGAUAAGUUAUCUAUCGCUGAGGACACUGUAAAAGGUGGCCAAGGUAAAUGCAGAUGAACCGCUUCUAAUAGUCCAUUGACUUGGACAAUACUUUUAUGAUCUGAUCUCAAAUCAGGUAGGACUACCCGCUGAACUUAAGC